rnacentral:lncRNA from 1 species
CAGAUCUUUUCGAUAUCUAUAAAGAUAAUGUGACUUUUUUCUCUUUUUUUUAGUAUCAUAUCAGUCGUUAUAGGCUAGUUUGUGCUUCAGUAACUAAUAACCUUAAAAUCUCAGUAGCUUUAAACAACAUGGUUUAUUUCUGGCUCAUACUCCAUGUCAGUGGAAUUCCAUACUUUCCUUCCUCCCAGAGCCAGGCUCAUAGAGCAGCCAUCAUCUGGCAUUUUGAGAGAUGCUGUCUGUGGUGGAGAGAAAGGGAACAUGGUAGGUCAGCCACUGACUUUUAAACUUUCCACUUGGAAAUAAUACACAUGACUUUAGCUAACAUUUUAUUCACCAGUGCAAAUCACAUGGCCACAGAGAACCGAAGAAGAGGUCAAAUAAUUCUACCAUGUAACCUGGAAAAGAAGUGGAAGUGUUUGGUCAAUAUAUAACUAAAUAUAUUAAUACAUUUCUUGAUUUGAAUGAAUCUUAAAUUUCUGAAAUGAAUGUAUCAUGGAUUUUUUUUAGUGUGCUUUUAGGUUCUGUUUGGCAAUAUUUAGGAAUUUCACAUGGAUAUAAGUGAGAUACAUUUUAUUUUGUGUGUGCUCAUGUGGGCAGUCUUUGUCAGGGCUUGGUAUUAUUCUAGCUUUAAAAAGAAGAGUAUUUAACUUACUUUUUAUGCUCCUGUAUAAAAUGUAAGCAGAGUUGGAGGCUUAUGUUCUUUAAAGACUUAGUAGAACUGACCUGUGAAACAAUCUAGGAAUGGGCUUUCUGGGGGUAGAAAAGGGUACAGCCAGGAAACUGUCUAUAUUUCUUCUGUGCUAAUUGGUUUGUUCAGAUAAUAUUAUCUCUACUCUAAAUUGUGUUCAUUUAUAUUUUUAGAAUUUUAUUUAAUUCCAGGUAUUUGUUUUGCAUAUAUUUGAACAAAUAAGUAUACUGAUAAGCUUUUACUGUCCUUGGUUCUUUAGUUACCCGU